CCUACGGGCGGCUGCAGUGGGGAAUAUUGCACAAUGGGCGCAAGCCUGAUGCAGCCAUGCCGCGUGUGUGAAGAAGGCCUUCGGGUUGUAAAGCACUUUCAGCGGGGAGGAAGGCGUUAAGGUUAAUAACCUUGUCGAUUGACGUUACCCGCAGAAGAAGCACCGGCUAACUCCGUGCCAGCGGCCGCGGUGAUACGGAGGGUGCAAGCGUUAAUCGGAAUUACUGGGCGUAAAGCGCACGCAGGCGGUCUGUCAAGUCGGAUGUGAAAUCCCCGGGCUCAACCUGGGAACUGCAUUCGAAACGGGCAGGCUAGAGUCUUGUAGAGGGGGGUAGAAUUCCAGGUGUAGCGGUGAAAUGCGUAGAGAUCUGGAGGAAUACCGGUGGCGAAGGCGGCCCCCUGGACAAAGACUGACGCUCAGGUGCGAAAGCGUGGGGAGCAAACAGGAUUAGAUACCCGAGUAGUC
rnacentral:rRNA from 1 species